UGAAAAUUGAGAUUUGGACCUAGAACGGAAAGAAAUCGAUUUAUGGAGGAGUAUGUCUUUUCACCUUUGUGGUAUCGAGAGUUUCUAGGUUAGCUCGGGUUGGAGGCCGUCAGAGAUAUAAUCACCCUAUCGAGUUAACGUUAUCGGAGUAAGUAAACUUAAGUGAUUCGAGUCUAUGGCAUGUAUAGGGUUUUAAUGUGAGUAUGUAAUAUUAUGAUUUAGCCAAAGGCAUUGGCUUGUUAUUAAGGUAGUAUUAGUUAUGUAAAUUGGCCUAUGUCGGCUAAUAUCGUUAUGGGCCCAUAUGAUUAUUCUUAUGCAUUUAUGUUAUUAUUUCUUGUGAUGUGGCUUACAACAUGUAUGCCUAGAGAUUGAAUUGAGAUUCAUUGAUGAGCUAGUAACUAAUGCAGGAUUAAGUGAUUGGUAAAUAGUUAAUAA